rnacentral:antisense_RNA from 1 species
AGUCACAAGAGGCCCUGAGCUCUGUGGGCCCCAGGAGCCCCGGGAAAACCUGGGGGAGAAUGGGCAUCCCACCCCAGCACUUUCUAGGAAGAAGGGCAACAUUUUGAAGGGCUGGAAGUAGAGAAAGAAGGUUGCGGGUAGAAGACUCCAUACUUUCUGUGACGCCUAUUCCUUAGGUAGGAACUUAGGAACCUCAGGAGAGCUUUUAUAUAACCAAAGAUAUUUUUGGACCAUGAAUUCGGAAAUUCUCGGAGCCACCCAUCAAUGCCUGAGCUUCAGUGAGUCCAUAUCCCAUGUCACCUACGGCAAAGGAGAAUCUGAGACUUCUGAAGAGUUUCUUGCUUCUUUCCUGUGGGGCAGUGACUCCACUUCCCAGCAGUAAUGGAAUAUCCUGAAUUAGCUACAUUAAUGUUAGAACCAUUUGGACCUCACCCAGGACUUCAACUACAUUGUGCUAAAGUUACAGAAUCCAAAUUUGGCAACUGCCUGCAUCUGAACAACAGAAGUUUCAACAUUCUGCCAACAGAGUAACUCCUGGACGACUGGCACAGAAGAAGGCACAAGGCAAAUACCCAUCUCUGUACACCCUGUGCUACUGUGUCAUGUGCUGCUCCAGGCAACUCCAAUGGAUUGGCCACCCUGGCCAAUGUGUUCUAGUAUGUUAGGUUUAUGUUCCCCUGCUUUCUACAAUCCUGUUCAAAGAGUUGCUGACUUA